AUGCACGCUGGCGGCGUGCCUCAUACCUGCCAGUCGAGCGAACAGACGAGGAGCUUGCUCCUCUGACGUUAGCGGCGGACGGGUGAGUAACACGUGGAUAACCUACCUAUAAGACUGGGAUAACUUCGGGAAACCGGAGCUAAUACCGGAUAACAUGUUGAACCGCAUGGUUCAACAGUGAAAGACGGUCUUGCUGUCACUUAUAGAUGGAUCCGCGCCGCAUUAGCUAGUUGGUAAGGUAACGGCUUACCAAGGCAACGAUGCGUAGCCGACCUGAGAGGGUGAUCGGCCACACUGGAACUGAGACACGGUCCAGACUCCUACGGGAGGCAGCAGUAGGGAAUCUUCCGCAAUGGGCGAAAGCCUGACGGAGCAACGCCGCGUGAGUGAAGAAGGUCUUCGGAUCGUAAAACUCUGUUAUUAGGGAAGAACAAAUGUGUAAGUAACUAUGCACGUCUUGACGGUACCUAAUCAGAAAGCCACGGCUAACUACGUG
rnacentral:rRNA from 1 species